rnacentral:lncRNA from 1 species
CACCCCACACCCCUAGCCCAGGGUCUCUUCAUCGAUAGGGGGUGAUCUGUCUGCCCCUCACUGUUUUCUCCAAAUAGAGAUAAGAUCUCACUAUAUUGCCCUGGCUGGUCUCAAACUCCCGUGUUCAAGUCAUCUGCCUGCCUCGACCUCCUAAAGGGCAAGCGGGAUUACAGCCUUCUCCACAGCCCAGCCACAGUGAGGGAGUCAUCAGCACUGGAACCCGGGGUCCACGGCCUUGGAGGAUCCGGACCCUCCGCAUUUGAGGAACUUGGCCUUCAGUCAGGGAGCCAAGAAGUCCCUGCCAAUCAAGGAGGGGGUGUGGGCUGGUGGGGGGGGGGCAGCCUUGGGGCACGGGAGCUGAUAGACCAGACUCAAGAGUUCUACUCCUGACUUCUAGAUUGUUCCACCUCCAUAUGGAAUAUGUUCCUUCCAUCUAACACUGUGUGAUUUGGGGACCAUCCAACUCAAAUGAAAGAAGCCAAGCCAUGCAGCGAGCCACCCCCUCCCCAAUGUGGGGUACCCCCUGCCCCCGCCCAGCUCCCCUGCCCUCCCAGCUGAGGGGGGAUCGCCGCCUGGUGAUCUCAGCCUCCCCUCCAAGUGGGCUGUGAAGUGUCUAAUCCAGGCUUUCAUCUGGCAUCCACAAUUAUAAUGUCAAGAUUGAAUAAUCUGCCUUUAUCUCCCGGGUGACAGCCAUGUAGAAACUUCAAAAGAAACAGUUUUGCUGGCAUCUAACGGCUUUUGUUAAUUACUAUAUCCCAAAGAAAAUGAAAUAAAGGAGGGAGAAAAAUGAUA